GGGCGUUUGGUUUAGGGGUAUAACAUUCGUUUCGCAGUCUUGUGACUACGAAAGGUCCUGGGUUCGAUUCCCAGAACGUCCA